UUUUUUUAAUGACUAGAGAAAAUUCAAAAGAACCAUGGACUGACUGUGAAUUGAAAGAUCAGGAACCUGGCCCUGCUUUGCCACUAACAAAAUACAUGAUGCACUGAGAAGAAAAUAUCACUUCUAUGCUAUUCCUGCUCCAAGUGCAUCACCUGAUUCUAAUUAUCAGAAAACAGCAGACAAAUCCAAAUUGAGAGACAUUCUGCAAAAUAACUGGUCUGUGUUCUUCAAGAAUGUUAAGGUCAAGAAAGACAAAGAAAGACUGAGGAAGUGUUCCAGAUUAAAAGAGAAGCAGAGAGAUGCGACAACUACAUGCAAAACAUAAAUAUGGGAUUUUUCUGUUGUUAUAAAGGACAUUAUUGGGACAAAUAGCAAAAUCUAAGUAAGGUCUGUGGAAUAGAUAAUAAUAUUGCAUCAAUCUUAAUUUGAUAAUUAUUUUUCGGUUAUUUAAGAAAAUAUCCUAUUUUUUCUUAUUUUUAAGAACCUCACACUGACGUAUUCAGGAGCAAAUGAUGGUUGUCAUGUCUGCAACUAUCUCACAUAGUUCAGAGAGAGAAUGAGUAUGUGUGGGUGACACAGAAAGGGAGAGAAAUAAAGUAAAGGUGUUAAAAUGUUAACACUGAGGAAUCUGGAUAAAAGGUAUAUUAGAAUUAUUGUACUAUUCUUAUAACUUUCAUAUGUCUGGAAAGUAUAUUAAAAUAAAAAAUUUAAAAAGAGUAUGACAGAAAAAAAUCUUAGUUACAUUAUUAUGGAACAUACUAUAAUUCAAUACAUGUUUAAUUAAAAUAAAAUGACCUUGAACUUCACAUAAUAUAUAUCCCUUGAUUGUUUUCGCGUAUCAAGCAAUUGCAGCUGUUGUAAGCUGUCACUCAUAUAGAUUUCUCUCAAAUUUAGCUAUACCAGUGGGGAAAAAAUGGCAUGAUAAUCCUUAACAGCUGACAACUUAAAGCCAUUUGCAAAGUAUUGUCUCACUAAUUCAAACAAACAGGAAGAAUAAUAUAUAGCUGAAAUAAACAAUAUUUUAAAAUAAACGUUUUCUUUGUACUUCUAAAUGGAUAUUGCAAACAAAAAUAUUAAGGAAAUGUUGCCAUACAGAGAUCCUUCAAGCUAGUGUCAAAGAUGAAGUGUGCAUGUGUAUAUAUAUACACAUAUAUACUAUAAGUAUAAAUGAGUUUUUGUUAUUUAACAUGUAGUCUAUAUAUGGGCUGUUAAAACACAGGCUAAUAUUUACUGUAUUCUUACUAUGCCAAUGCUUUAGAUGCAUUUAUUAAACAAACCAACCCAUCGAGUAGGUUUUAUUAUUAAUGUAAAGCUUAGCUCACACUUCUCCCUGAAAUUACAUGUCAUUGGCUUCCAAUGUUUUUCUGUUGUUCAUUUCUGUCAAAUCAUAACUCAGAUGUGAAAGUUCAAAUGCCAACUCCAGCCAAGUCUUCCUUAAUCCAACAAUCAGAACUAAUCAUUCUUGCUUCUGAAUUCCUACAAGCCUUUAUUCAACAACAUUUGUUAAAGUUUUCCUAAAUAUAUGUAUUAAACACUUGCUACAUCCAAAA